GUCUUUUCUGUGAACCUACAUCUUUGGAUACAGCUCAAGCUCUUUCAGAAGGCCCCUUGCUGCUGCCAUUCCACCUGCAGAACGUUAGCUCCCUUGACAGCAGAGCAUCAAGAGCAAAUGCAGUUUGAUGGGUGCAGCAUCGAGGUGAUCCAGAUUUCAGAGCCUUUAUGAGAGGCUAAUGCUGAGGACAGCAGCUGGGUGCUUGAUCUGCUCAUCACAAGCUAGUAGGUGCUACAUGAGUGUGCGACUACAUCCUCGUUGGUUCAGCCCGCAUUUCAGAUGACAGCAUCUGCAGCUAUUUACUGGGCCUUUCUCUUUAGCCUCCAUUUCCUUCUGUGGCUUUUACUCAUUCCCACAGUGUUUGACUCUGGGGACUCGGCCUCUUCUGUUAAUAUUCCAUCACCAUCACUCUCUUCACACAGACGUGAUGAUUCCCUUUGUACUCCUCGCCCAGAUGGGAUCAAGAACUAUGUUGCCUCCUGAUUCUUUCUUUCCAUGGCUGCUGCUACUGUUACAUAAAGGGACCUCUAAGAACCACUGGGUUUGACGUUAACAAUAAUAUAAUCUCCCUAAGACGAUGUUAAGAUAUGAAGAAACUCUGAAUGCAUACAUGGUGCUAUUCUUUACUAGCAGAAGUAUGGUCUGACAACAGUUGACAUCCACGUGGAGAUGCACAAAUCUCCAUGGAAGUGUUAGAUGAUUUCAUCAACCUAUUUGGUAAGGAAAUCAUUGUUAAAAUUUGUGAUCCUCUUGUGCUGUUAUUCUAGCAAACAGAAAAAUAUCAAGUGCAACACAGGAAGGGCAACUGAGUAAACAUGGCUGUCUAACCUGAAAUGCAAUGCACAGACUAUUAUAUUACUUACUUAGCAGCAGAAAAGGAUCAAAUCUGAAUACCCAUACACAAAGUCACAGAUACAUACAUACACAUACUGAAGUGUUUCUUCUGCAUUAUUUUGAAGAAUAGAUCUCUCUAGACACCAUUCAAGGACCGCCAUGUUGCAGCUCAGAGAAAUGAGUCCUGGCCAUAUAUCUCCAGAAGAAACUGAGAAAGCAGUGGUUCAAAGCUGACUGCAUCCAGAGAAAUCACUUCAGAGAAACCACAUCACUGUCUAUAGCCAUUUUUGAAGAAUUUGUCAGGAAUCAAAUCAGAAGGCACAAACUUUACUGAAGUCUGCAGAUGAUGCACCUUGAGAAGAUGGGACUCAUGUAUGAUGGAUGUAUAACAGCGCAUUCCACACCCUCGCAUGCUCCCCUGUGGCAGACUUAUGGCACUGCCUCUCAUCCAGCUUCCAAGCUUGUUUCCUCUGUGACUGCCUUCCCCUACUUUCAGCACAGCUAUUCCUAACAUUCCUAACGUAUUCCUGCAUUACUGAAAUGGGGAAGGAGGGAAAGAAGGAAGGAAGAAAGGGAAGAGCUUCUAGUGCUCUCUUGUUACUUAGUUCAUCUCCAUUGACUCACGACCACCACCUCCUCUGAUAUAUCCCUUUGCUCAUUCUGGUUAGGUGUCUCAGCUGAAAUCUAUUGAUCAUACAAGUAACAUUUGAGUGCAUAUCCUCUCAUUCAUUAUGAUGUGAUAGUUCUGGUUUACUUAUUGCUUGGUAAUAAACAUUUCCUCUGCACGUGAUAAAAAAUGUGUUAAAUUACUGGCCCCAAAAUAGUGGCUGAAAAUCAGUCAGGAGGGGUUUUUACUGCCACACUGGCUUGAGAUUGAAAUGUUUAGUACAGUAGCUCUGCUAAGACUAAGCUAGGCUUCCUAACUAACAUAAUAAAAUGCAGACCAUCCUGAGGGGAUGAGGGAGUUGCAUUCCAAAACUUGCACUGCAAGCAACUGAAGUU